UUUGACUGAUUUGUCAGUGUGUGGGGAAACAUCCAUGCUCUCAUCCACCUACAUAUAAGGGCGGAUGCCCCAACACCCGCCCGUGGACAGGACACAGCAGGAGUCACUUCGGGGAGACCCUCAGGCUGAGACCCCUUCGAGAGCCAGCCGGCACUGCGGAGCUAGGCCUGCCCUAGACAGCCGUUGGCGCUGGUUCGCCUUCUGCACGCUCACUGGCAGGGACUGGGCUCUGCAGUGGGAGGUAGGACCCGAGGCAGAGCCACAGAGCCCUUCUGAAGAGCAGCUCUGCGCUGUGUCCCUCGGGCCCAUGGAGACUUGGUUCUCACCCGACUGGACAACUGCGAUCUCUUCCAGGUACGAAGUUCUGAAAGAAAGCUUUUCAAACCCAACGUAUAUGGUGCUUGACGCUUUCAGAUCCAAAUAAAAAACAAGCGGACGCCUGGACGCAGGAUCCGGGCCGGGCGGUACUUCUCCGCGGACAAACAGCUCCCGGGAGGAGCGCCUUCGAUCUCAGUCCGGGGCAAAUAAUCUGGAUAACCUUUAAAUGGAACAUAGUUAAAAUCUUAUUCACUGAAAAGAUUCCAAUCAACAAAAUCUACACAAAAUUGGAAAAGAAUUAUGUUAUCCUUAAGCAACCUUCAGAAUGUCAUCCAUAACCCGACCAUCCCCUAUGUUGGCACCAUUUCUGAGCAGUUGGAGGCUGGGUCCUUGGUUGUCACCCGUGGCCAUGUUCCUAGUCGUGCUGAGCGAUUCCAGGUGGCUCUGCAGUGCGCGGCAGCAUGAAGCCCGGACGAUGUGGCCUUUCACUUCAACCCCCGCUUCAAGCGGGCUGACCACAUUGUAUGCAACACUGACACAUGGAAGGUGGGGAUGGGAGGAGAUCGCCUAUGACAGGUCCUUCCAAAAGGAAAGCUCUUUGAAAUCAUGAUCAUGGUGCUGAAGGACAGAUUCCAGGGUUUACAAAGUACCCAAGCAUCCACUCUAGGACUGACAAACAUAAAUAGAGAAGAUGCACCAAGGUCCGGCAUUUCACAGUUUACCCUGCCCUUCGAAGCAAGGUUGGAUCCCCAUGGGCCCUGGACGAACUGUAGUCAUUAAAGGAGAAGUGAACACGAAGGCCAAAAGCUUUGUUGAUCUAAUAGCAGGAAAACCAAAGGAUAUUGCUCUAAAUUGAACCCAUGCCUGAAUAUUAAAGCACUUGUAAGAAAUUCUUUUCUUAAUGAUGCCUGGGGAGAAGAAGAGAGAAAUAUUACCUUCUUUCCAUUCAGGCCUGGGAUGUACUUUGAGAUGAUAAGUUAUUGUGAUGUUAGAGAUUUCAAGGUUGCCAUCAAUGGAGCACACAGCCUGGAGUACAAUCACAGAUUUCAGAGCUGGGCAGCAUCGACACAGUGGCCGUCAACAGUGAUAUCCACUUACUGGAAGCAAGGAGCUGGUAACCCCCAGGAGUGCCGCAAACCCAAAUACAGAAUGGCUGUGUGAUCUUGGCUGUGUCAAAGUGCACCUCACUGUUCCCGCCUUGUUGAAAUUGCCCUUCUGUAGCAUUAAGUCCCACUGUUGUCCCAUGGCCCUGAGGGGAAAUCUGAGGCGACAGCCACAUACAGCCUUUGAAGCAACGGCUUUUUCCCCACAUGGCCUCUUUUGAAACCACACUCAAGAAGUAUUUAUUAAGUGCCUACUGUAACACAGCCACUAACUGGCAUUGAGCACACUUUCCGUCAGCAGUGACAGGAGCAGGUGCACACACAUGGUGGUGCGGAGGCAGUGUCCCUCUUCUCUGGGAACCGAAGUCCAAGGGCUUCAGUGCUUUGCCCGUGUACACUGCCUGCCUUGUUGGGUCUAUUGGGUUAAGGGUCAUGCUGCUAUUCAGUCACAUAAAAUACUAAUUUCCAGAAGACACCACUCCUUUCCCAGAGACUCCUUUCACAAUGAGCAUCUAUGGUGUCCCAGUCAAGAGGACUGAUGUCAACUGUCAUCUGCCAGUGAAUCUGUAGCACAAUAAACAUAUAGCUCUCCUUGCUAUAAGCUUUACCAAAUAAUUAACAUGAAUAUGACAUCUGAGCUCAGCAGAAAAGUUAAGGCCAAAAGCAAACACCCCCACCCCCAAAACCAACCAACCAACCAAAAAACAACCCCAAACAAUGCACCCAUCGUGUUGACUCAAAAAAAUAAAAAACAAGAAUGAAGUAUGGUUUCUUUUGUAAGCCUUUUUCUGUUCUGUUUUUUCAGCUAUAUAGCUCCUUUUCUAACCACAGUAUAAGUUUAUCUGCUUUACAAAGUGAGGAACUAUAAAAAUAAGCCCUUUCUUUAAGAAAAACUCCCCUUGGAAGCCAAAUGUCUGGUGAAAGCUAGAUGGCCAUUCA
rnacentral:lncRNA from 1 species